rnacentral:misc_RNA from 1 species
UCCCCUAAUCUCUCCCUUCUC